UCUCCGUAGGUGAACCUGCGGAGGGAUCAUUACAGAGUUCUCGCCCUCGCGGGUAGAUCUCCCACCCACUGUUAUCGUUACUGUGUUGCUUUGGCGGGCCGCCGGGCCCCGCUCGGCCGCCGGCUCCGGCUGGCGCGCGCCCGCCAGAGGCCCAGCAAACUCUGAGUGUUAGUGUCGUCUGAGUACUAUAUAAUAGUUAAAACUUUCAACAACGGAUCUCUUGGUUCUG
rnacentral:misc_RNA from 1 species